rnacentral:rRNA from 1 species
UACGUAGGGUGCAAGCGUUAAUCGGAAUUACUGGGCGUAAAGCGUGCGCAGGCGGUUAUAUAAGACAGUUGUGAAAUCCCCGGGCUCAACCUGGGAACUGCAUCUGUGACUGUAUAGCUAGAGUACGGUAGAGGGGGAUGGAAUUCCGCGUGUAGCAGCGAAAUGCGUAGAUAUGCGGAGGAACACCGAUGGCGAAGGCAAUCCCCUGGACCUGUACUGACGCUCAUGCACGAAAGCGUGGGGAGCAAACAGG